rnacentral:sRNA from 12 species
UUUUGCGCGCUAUGGUGUGGGUAAGCGGAAACGCCCCAAUACUUUUAUUAUAUUUAGUAUAGGACACCUAAGGCGCGUUUAUUU